UUAACGACUCAUUUACUGCCUCAAAGGCUUGUUUUUUUCAGCUAUCCGGUCUGCUGUAAAAUAUUAAUGUUAAAGGUAGACUAGCAGACUUUUGUUGUGAAAAUUUCUACCAUGGUCUAUAUCCACUGUUUCAGUUUUGACAGAGCUUUAGUUUCACCCGAAGAACUUGUACUGUUUUGGUUUCUCCCUCUUCCAGCUAUGUUUUCAGGGUCUUUCUACGCGUUAUUGGCGGGUUUUUUGAGUGCGGCCGCCUCUUUGUCUGCCAAGCUGUCCCUCGGUGCAGACUACCUGAGAGAGAUGUGUGAGUCCAGGAUGGACAGGUGGACGGAGACGGACGGUGGAACUACAGCUUGUGACUGGCUCCACAUCCCCCUGCGGCUGCUGUGUGGAGGCCUGCUUUUUGCCUGUAAUGCCGUCAUGUGGACCUUCUUCUCCAAGGCUCUGCGACACUGCUCCUCAUCAGCCAGAGUCACGGUCACCACCACUGCGUCUAACUUCAUCUCCUCGGCUUUCCUGGGGAGGGUCAUUUUUGGAGAGACCCAUGCUGCUCUGUGGUGGGUGGGCAUGUCUCUCACUCUGUGUGGACUGCUGGUGCUUCAUGCAUCCACAUCUCAGACACAUACACAGGGGGAGGCCAGAAAGGACAAGUAAUGUGAGUCUUCAGUGAGUCUGCAGCCUCUGCUCUUCACUCAGGGUCUAAACUGGUAAAACUCCCUCAGAGACACGAUGGAACUUCUAAAGCACUUGGGAGUGAAUCUGUUCCUUAUAAGAAGAGGAAACUCAGUGUCCUGAUGUUAAGAUCAGUUAAAUAAGAUGACUGUGUUGCACAGGCCUGACAAUACAUUCAGUGCCAUCAGUUCUAGAUGCUGUGGCUGUGGUUGCUUUUCUUUCUUUGUGUUUCAGUGAGAGGCCUAUAGAAGUGAUUGUAACUGUUAAAACUCUGUGUAUUCAUGCUGCAUUUUGCAUGUCUGCAUAAUAUUGUAAAACCUGUGAGGAUGUUGAUGAAUAUUCCCAACUCCACAGCGUGGACAGAAUUUCCAUUUGCCAGUGUGGCCAAACACAUUACAUUCAGACUCCACCAAAAUGUUUGCAGUGAGAAGUGCUGAGAAAUGCUGGGAUUUUUCUGGUGAUAGUAUCAAGUACACCAAACUGGACUGGUGCGCCAUUUUUGUUUUUUUUUUUCAGUUAAAGAAGGCUGAACGCAUUCCAGCUGCUCUGCCAGGAACACUCAGGUCAUUUACUGCAGACGUUCUGGACGUGGUGUUAGUUGAGCGGUAUCUCAAUGACGUCCUCCUCAAUGAUCUCCCCCUGUGGAACGCUGACGUGCUCUGUGGGGCUCUUCUUGCAGCUCAGCCCUGUGAAGGGGCUGCACCAGGACAGAGAGAACGGGCCUCCAAACGCCAUCUGCGUGGCCUCCCAGCACGGCACCUUCGCCCACUUCCCCGUCUCACCCUUCAGACGCUCGAUUCCCUGGAGAAGACACAAUGAGGGCCGUGAGGUGAAAGGAGCCGAGCCAAAAGGACCGUAUGUUUAUCACGUACAUGCACUACAAAGCACAACUAUGACACAGAGUCGAUGACAGUACUAAAAACUGCAACAACACACUAUGGUUUAGCUUUUUUGGGGCGAGUUUCUCAGACGCAAGUGAAACUUUCCAGACUAAAUAUGAUUGGUACAGAUUGCAGCAAAUCUAGAGUCACCUGUUAGCUUAUCACCCAAUGAGGCCACAGAGGCACUGAAAAGAACCAUGUGAAUUCUGGGUACAGGGGUCGUCUUCAAAUUAAUUUGAAUAAAUCAUUGCCCUUGAAAAUCCCCACUUGAUUUGGCUGAAGCUUCAUAUUAACUUCAGCUAAAAUUUGGACAAACAGCUUGAUAAGUGUAAGAAAUUAAUGCUUACAGUGAAUUUUACAGUUUGCAUGUGAGCACUGUAUUAGCAAAGACUUUAUUAAAAAAAAAAAAAAAAAAAAUCCAACCCAAUUAAGAAUGCUCUCGUAUCAGGUCUGAAUCACUUGCUUUCUAAGAAACAAGCCACAGAUUUACUAAAACACUGCGCCAAAUGAGUCACAUGAGCUUUGAGAAAAGAAAUAAUAAAUAAUAAACCCCUAUGGAGGAAGCACACGUCAAAUGUUCAGAAACAGCGCAUGCAUCACUCAUUCAUUCAUAAUGUUUGGUUGAAUCUGAAACAGCAAAAAAAAAAAAAAAAAAAAAAUUUUAACUAAAAAAAAAAAAAAAAAAAGAAGAAGAAACGAAAGUGCACGUUGGCCCUCUGACCCGAUAUCUGCAUGCUCAUGAUGUGUUAAGCUUUGAUGCGACGGCUAAUGUGACCUCUGUGUUUCAAGCUUACCUCCGUCAAGGUUAUAAAGAGCUGUCUGCUUCAGAGAGCUUUCGGCAGAGUGAGUUAUCAACCAAAGCAAAAUGCAUGAGUGUGGAGAAGAACAUUGCGUGGGAGAGAGGGAGGGAGGGAGACUACACAGUGAGAGGAGAAUGGAAGAUGAGGACAGAGGGAAAAUGGAACAAUGAAAAAAAACAACUAUGCAGGGGAAGUAGAAACCUUUUUUAAACAUUAUUUGAACAUUGAAAAACAUAUUUGACCAUAGUAAGUACAACAAAUACACCACCCCCCCCCACAAAAAAAGCCAGCAAACACAGUUUUUGCAUUGCAACUGAGAAGUAUUUAUUCUCUGCGCAUGUGCUGAAAUAUCUUCAGAAUAUUUAGAAAGAAUUCAAAUUUCUGUAAAAAACAAAAAAAACCCCAAAACAAACAAAUCGUCUCAACCAUUACUCUGCACCAUCGUACCAGCAGUGUUUCACAUACAUCACUAAACCAGCCCUCAGCGGUACCAUGCAUUCA